GAUGAACGCUGGCGGCGUGCCUAAUACAUGCAAGUCGAGCGAACAGAUGAGGAGCUUGCUCCUCUGACGUUAGCGGCGGACGGGUGAGUAACACGUGGAUAACCUACCUAUAAGACUGGGAUAACUUCGGGAAACCGGAGCUAAUACCGGAUAAUAUAUUGAACCGCAUGGUUCAAUAGUGAAAGACGGUUUUGCUGUCACUUAUAGAUGGAUCCGCGCCGCAUUAGCUAGUUGGUAAGGUAACGGCUUACCAAGGCAACGAUGCGUAGCCGACCGGAGAGGGUGAUCGGCCACACUGGAACUGAGACGCGGUCCAGACUCCUGAGGGAGGCAGCAGUAGGGAAUCUUCCGCAAUGGGCGAAAGCCUGACGGAGCAACGCCGCGUGAGUGAUGAAGGUCUUCGGAUCGUAAAACUCUGUUAUUAGGGAAGAACAAAUGUGUAAGUAACUAUGCACGUCUUGACGGUACCUAAUCAGAAAGCCACGGCUAACUACGUG
rnacentral:rRNA from 1 species